AUACGGAGGGGGUUAGCGUUGUUCGGAAUUACUGGGCGUAAAGCGUACGUAGGCGGAUCAGAAAGUAUAGGGUGGAAUCCCAGGGCUCAACCCUGGAACUGCCUUAUAAACUCCUGGUCUCGAGUUCGAGAGAGGUGAGUGGAAUUCCAAGUGUAGAGGUGAAAUUCGUAGAUAUUUGGAGGAACACCAGUGGCGAAGGCGGCUCACUGGCUCGAUACUGACGCUGAGGUACGAAAGUGUGGGGAGCAAACAGGAUUAGAAACCCGAGUAGUCC
rnacentral:rRNA from 1 species